AGCGAAGCUGCAGGUUGGAGUCCAGCCACAGCUGUGCUCCCUGUGGGGCAGAAGGGAAGCCGGGCGGCAGGGGCCGAGGAAGGACUAUGGACUUCCUCUUCACUGUCGCCCCCUUUGCAGGGACCGUGCAGUAGGUUGAGAAGGUUCCCUAGGCCACAGCCCUUCCCAGCUCUGGCUAGGAGCCCCCUUCUCCCCAGGCACACAGCUAAAGGUAAUUCCAGGAGGCCUCAGGUGUCCACUCACACUCACCUCCAGUCCUCCCCCCACACCAACGCCUGUCCCCUAUUAAGGUCUGGGACCUCCUCAAAGUCACCAUCUCCAAGGGAAUUGCCCCCCUUUCUGUUGGACAGUCCAAUUCUACCCAGAGCCUGCGUCCAGCCCUCCCUCUGGCCCAAGUGGCUUCCCUAGGCUACUGGAGCAGAAGGUCGCCAUUAUGACCCAGAAUGCUCCUGCCUGUGUUAAGAAGGCUGUGUAGACCCUUCUGCAGUUUCUUCCUCCUCCCUGUGGGACUCACUCCGGUUCCCCUCCAGGGCCAGGGAGGGUGCCUCUGAUUGGGAGGGGACAGCAUGUGUGCCCUCAAAACCAUGAUAGGGGCUGGGGAUGUGGCUCAAGUGGUAGCGUGCUGGUCUGGCAUGUGCGGGGUGCUGGGUUCGAUCCUCAGCACCAUAUAAAAU
rnacentral:lncRNA from 1 species